rnacentral:rRNA from 1 species
UCCUGAUGGCUCACAUGAAGUUUCGUGCCGUUCCGACCUCGUUUGAUACGGUUAUGGUUAACCACACGGCCCCUCGGGCCCGACCCGAGCCCAGUCAACGUUUUGACCCGAUCAAAUCGGCCCGUGACCCGAAACGACCCUACUUGGGCCCUACAACAGCCACGUAAAGUUUCGGGAUGAUCCGACGUUCUUUCAUGGGGUUACGGACAAUCCACGCCAAACAAGCGUCACGGGCCGACCGAGCCGGGCCAACGGGCCCUCGGGACCCGAAAACUGAAUUUUUUUUCAUCCAAACCCAUUAAAACACGUUACCGAGGUCUCACGCAAAAUUUCAUGCCAAUCCGACGUCGUUUGAUGGGGUUUUGAGAUAUUAUGAUUCCUCAAAAAUUUAAUGUCUGUUCCUGUCACUUAGCUUUUUGUGCAAAAUGUAUAUAUAGGGGAGGGGUGGGUGUUGAGCAGCCCAUGCCCGGGCAAGGCAUGCCAGCGCCCAAGCCAAAGGAGGCUGGUGGCGUGCGUAUAACAGCUCAAAUGCCCCAACGAUGACCGAGAACAAGCGCCCAUCUCCCCUCCUUCCCCCCCACCAAGCGCCCCUCCCCCCCAUGUUGCCUGCCCACUCGCACAGCUACUCGUGAUUUCAUGCCCAGCGACUAGUGAAUGUGCCUCGACGACCAGCAAACCUCGAAAAUUAUGAUUCCUCGUAAAAUUAAUGUCUGUUCCUGUCACUUUACUUUUUGUGCAAAAUGUAUAUAUAGGGGAGACCAGGGGCUUGAGCAACCCCUGUGCCCAAGCAAGGGUCAGAUGGAAGCACACGAGACGCGAGGUUUAAAGCCUAUACAAGCAAGGCGUCUGUCUCCCCAAGCCCCAUUGCCUAUAAAACAAGCCCGAUGCCUUGUAAAUGCCCCACACGAUGCCUAUAAACGACAACGAUGUUUGCUAGUUAAUCGAUCGACGCCCCACACCUUGCAGCAUGUUGCCUAGUAAACAAGCCAUGCUGCCUUGGAAGCGCCCCACAUCAUGGCAUGUUGCCUAGCACGCUGCCCUUGUUUCCAGCACGGCGACCUGAAAGCGUGGCCUGACGACGUGCUUGCCUUCGAAAAUUAUGAUUCCUCAAAAAAUUAAUGUCUGUUCCUGUCACUUUACUUUUUGU